rnacentral:rRNA from 1 species
CCAGACUCCUACGGGAGGCAGCAGUGGGGAAUAUUGGGCAAUGGGCGCAAGCCUGACCCAGCAACGCCGCGUGAAGGAAGAAGGCUUUCGGGUUGUAAACUUCUUUUCCCAGGGACGAAGCAAGUGACGGUACCUGAGGAAUAAGCCACGGCUAACUACGUGCCAGCAGCCGCGGUAAUACGUAGGUGGCAAGCGUUAUCCGGAUUUACUGGGUGUAAAGGGCGUGUAGGCGGGAAAGCAAGUCAGAUGUGAAAACCAUGGGCUCAACCUGUGGCCUGCAUUUGAAACUGUUUUUCUUGAGUACUGGAGAGGCAGACGGAAUUCCUAGUGUAGCGGUGAAAUGCGUAGAUAUCAGGAGGAACACCGGCGGCGAAGGCGGCCUGCUGGACCGUGACUGACGUUGAGGCUCGAGAGCGUGGGGAGCAAACAGGAUUAGAUACCCGAGUAGUA